UGAGUGACCGUACCGCAAACCGACACUGGUAGGUGGGUAGAGUAUACCAAGGGGAGCGAGAGAACCUUCGUUAAGGAAUUAGGCAAAUUUCCCCCGUACGUUCGCAAUAAGGGGGGCCUUUGGCGGUGAGCUUAAUCGCAAAGCUGCUGGAGGCCGCAGAGAAAUGGCUCUUCCAACUGUUUAACAAAAACACAGGUCUCUGCUAAGUCGAAAGACGAAGUAUAGGGGCUGACGCCUGCCCAGUGCUGGAGGUUAAGGGGAGAGGUUAGGCGCAAGCCGAAGCUUUGAGCCGAAGCCCCAGUGAACGGCGGCCGUAACAAUAACGGUCCUAAGGUAGCGAAAUUCCUUGUCGGGUAAGAUCCGACCCGCACGAAUGGCGUAAUGAGAGGAGCACUGUCUCAACGAGGGACUCGGCGAACAUUGAAGGACGUGUGAAGAUACACGUGACCCGCAGCGGGACAAAAAGACCCCGUGAAGCUUUACUACAACUUGCCAUUGAGUUAGGGCUAAACCUGUGUAGUAUAGGUGGGAGGCUUUGAAGCUGGGACGCCAGUCUCGGUGGAGCCACCGUUGAAAUACCACCCUGGUUUAUUCUUGGCUCUAACCUGUCGCCGUUAUCCGGCAUGGGAACAGUGGCUGGUGGGUAGUUUGACUGGGGCGGUCGCCUCCGAAAGCGUAACAGAGGCGCCCAAAGGUUCCCUCAGGCUGAAUGGAAACCAGCCGUUGAGUGUAAAGGCACAAGGGAGCUUGACUGCAAGACCAACAAGUCGCGCAGGGACGAAAGUCGGGCUUAGUGAUCCCACGGUUCAGAGUGGAAUGGCCGUGGCUUACCGGAUAAAAGCUACUCCGGGGAUAACAGGGUAGUCUGGUCCAAGAGUUCAUAUCGACGACCAGGUUCGCCACCUCGAUGUCGGCUCAUCACAUCCUGGGGCUGGAUAAGGUCCCAAGGGUUGGGCUGUUCGCCCAUUAAAGUGGUACGUGAGCUGGGUUCAGACCGUCGUGAGACAGGUCGGUCUCUAUCCGCUGUGGGCGUAAGGGAUUUGAGAGAAGCUGCCCCUAGUACGAGAGGACCGGGGUGGACGGACCUCUAGUGUGCCAGUUGUUCUGCCAAGAGCAUUGCUGGGUAGCUACGUCCGGCAGAGAUAACCGCUGAAAGCAUCUAAGUGGGAAACUCGUCUCAAGAUUAGAUCCCUCAUCCGUAUGGAGUAAGACCGCUAGAAGACGACUAGUUUGAUAGGCGGCAGGUGUAAGCGCAGUAAUGUGUUCAGCUUAGCCGUACUAAUGGUCGAGGGCUUACGUUU
rnacentral:rRNA from 1 species